rnacentral:rRNA from 1 species
UACGGGGGGAGCAAGCGUUGUUCGGAUUUACUGGGCGUAAAGGGCGCGUAGGCGGUCAGCACAAGUCAAUUGUGAAAUCUCCGAGCUUAACUCGGAAAGGUCAACUGAAACUGUGCGACUAGAGUGCGGAAGGGGCAACUGGAAUUCUUGGUGUAGCGGUGAAAUGCGUAGAUAUCAAGAGGAACACCUGCGGCGAAGGCGGGUUGCUGGGCCGACACUGACGCUGAAGCGCGAAAGCAUGGGGAGCGAACAGG